rnacentral:rRNA from 1 species
AGUGAACGCUGGCGGUAGGCCUAACACAUGCAAGUCGAACGGCAGCACAGGAGAGCUUGCUCUCUGGGUGGCGAGUGGCGGACGGGUGAGGAAUACAUCGGAAUCUACUCUAUCGUGGGGGAUAACGUAGGGAAACUUACGCUAAUACCGCAUACGACCUACGGGUGAAAGUGGGGGACCGCAAGGCCUCACGCGAUUGAAUGAGCCGAUGUCGGAUUAGCUAGUUGGCGGGGUAAAGGCCCACCAAGGCGACGAUCCGUAGCUGGUCUGAGAGGAUGAUCAGCCACACUGGAACUGAGACGCGGUCCAGACUCCUACGGGAGGCAGCAGUGGGGAAUAUUGGACAAUGGGCGCAAGCCUGAUCCAGCCAUACCGCGUGGGUGAAGAAGGCCUUCGGGUUGUAAAGCCCUUUUGUUGGGAAAGAAAUCCUGUUGAUUAAUACUCGGCAGGGAUGACGGUACCCAAAGAAUAAGCACCGGCUAACUUCGUGCCAGCAGCCGCAGUAACAC